rnacentral:pre_miRNA from 1 species
CAGGGCAGGCAUAGCUAAGUGGUUACUUCUCACUGGAAAAUGGAUUUCUAAUCAUUUGACCACUGGUGCGAUCCUGCCUUUUAC